UUAGCGGUGACGCUAUGGGCGAAGGAAGUGGCUAGCGAAUUUUCCGAGCCUACGAACAGAAACCUGGUCAGGCCAAAUGGUGGAUAAGACUGCCAUACAAGUCGAAGUCCGAAAGACAAUCGUAAAACCAAGACGGUAAACCAGGAGCUGAUUAACAGUUAACAAA
rfam:Lactobacillus pasteurii DSM 23907 = CRBIP 24.76, type strain:CRBIP 24.76, WGS project CAKD01000000 data, contig: 2